rnacentral:rRNA from 1 species
AACGGCUAUACCAUGCUGAAUAUACCGGUUCUCGUUAGAUCACCGAAGUCAAGCAUCAUUGGGCGCGGUCAGUACUUGGGUGGGUGACCACCUGGGAGCACUGCGUGCCGUU